rnacentral:rRNA from 1 species
GACGAACGCUGGCGGCGUGCCUAAUACAUGCAAGUCGAGCGAAUCACUGGGAGCUUGCUCCCGGUGGUUAGCGGCGGACGGGUGAGUAACACGUGGGCAACCUGCCUGUAAGACUGGGAUAACUUCGGGAAACCGGAGCUAAUACCGGAUAAUUUCUUCCCUCACAUGAGGGAAGGUUGAAAGUCGGUUUCGGCUGACACUUACAGAUGGGCCCGCGGCGCAUUAGCUAGUUGGUGAGGUAACGGCUCACCAAGGCGACGAUGCGUAGCCGACCUGGGAGGGUGAUCGGCCACACUGGGACUGGGACACGGCGCAGGCUCCUACGGGAGGCAGCAGUAGGGAAUCUUCCACAAUGGACGAAAGUCUGAUGGAGCACGCCGCGUGAGCGAUGAAGGCCUUCGGGUCGUAAAGCUCUGUUGUCAGGGAAGAACAAGUACAGUAGUAACUGGCUGUACCUUGACGGUACCUUAUUAGAAAGCCACGGCUAACUACGUGCCAGCCGCCGCGGUAA